GUCACCAAAAAGGAAAUUUCAAACAAAAUUACGUGAAUGUAGCUCAUAAAACAGUUCACAAAUUAAUACAUUUAAGUCAGACACACCCAAAAUUAAAGUUUUGGUGACUAGCCCAUCAAUUUCGCUGGGGUUUCGGCUUAAGUCUUAGUCCCUGACAAUGGCAGGAUACUGCGGAAAUGAACAGCUCAUUUGUCUGUCGUCGGCACGAGGUGGAAAAUAAAUUACGCGACACUUUUACCAAGCCCUGUAAGGGCUCGUAAGUUGACAUUCCGGUUGUGUGUGGGAGUGUGUAUGAUUGCCAGAAUACCCACUUGAAGCGACAGGCUGGGUGGCCGUAGAAUUGCCUACAUUCCCACGAAGUCACGCACAACAGACAACAAGACGUGUGUGUUGGCAUCGUAACCGGGGUCUGGUUUGUUUGUUUGUUUGCUCUUCGCUGCUUUUGUUUGACACAAGUCAUUUGUCAACUCAUUAUUGGCCCUUAUCGGGGCUGCUGCUGCUGAGAAAGUGCCACUAAUUGAAAACGU
rnacentral:lncRNA from 1 species